rnacentral:rRNA from 1 species
UACGUAGGGGGCGAGCGUUGUCCGAAGUUACUGGGCGUAAAGCGCGUGUAGGCGGCUUGGCAAGUCGGGUGUGAAAUCCCUCAGCUUAACUGAGGAAGUGCGCCCGAAACUGCCGAGCUUGAGUACCGGAGAGGGUGGCGGAAUUCCCCAAGUAGAGGUGAAAUUCGUAGAUAUGGGGAGGAACACCGGUGGCGAAGGCGGCCACCUGGACGGAUACUGACGCUGAGACGCGAAAGCGUGGGGAGCAAACAGG